CCUUCAGGCAGUUAAAGGGAGAUGAUGAGUGGUAACAUCUCGCUAAUUAAUGUUGCGAGAGGGGUGUCUGCCCCAACCAAGCCUGUUACGACAACAGGGCACUCCAAUAUUUUACCAUCUGAUCCCGAAUCUAAGUUUUUAAAUCUUAUAAUAUUUUUUUGUUAAUUCUGUAAGGGUUUUUUUCUUUAUUUCGAAUUGAAUUUCGUUUUUGUCUAAAGUAUUUUAAAUUUUUUUUGUCUUUUGGACAUGUUUUUGUUGUGUCUUUUGAAUUUCAUUUCAUUUGAUGUUUUAUUUUUAUUUCUAUGUAUCUAAUUGAGGGCUCAGGUUUGAUUUUUUUGAAAAAAAAUGAUGAUCCUUAAUCCUCAAAUAAGAAAUUUUACCCAAAGAUGAGACGUUUGGGAGCAUAAGCAUAUUUUAACACAAUAUACCACCUGAACAACUUGAAAAUGAGGAAUUUUACCCAAAGAUGAGAAAUUUUGCACUGGUUUUACCGAAAGAUGAGAAAUUUUGCACUGGCCGUACCUGUUGCUGCUGAUCGACCUCAUCAGGCUGCCAUUUUAUCAAGCUCGUCAUCAAUAAGCUGAAGCUGCAACCCUGUGCAUAUGGACUAUUGAUGGAUAAGGCCCUCAUCAACAAGCUGCUCCUCCACUGUUUGGUACUACUCCUGAAUGUUCCUGAAGCUGUGGUACUCUCUGCUCUCUACUACUAUUGCUGCUCUCUGCUGCUGUGUGCUAGUGCCAAGUUCAGAACUUCAGAUAACAUCGUACAACCAUCUACUUCCUGUACUUCUUGUGCUGAUCUUGAUGUACUUCUUGCGCUGAUCUUGAUGAGAACAACUGAUCCUUUCCUGGGAGGUGGGGCUUUGCUUUGUACAGACAUUAAGUUAAAUGGUCAAAAUUAUCGAACUAUCAGCACUUAUGCUUUUGCGGUCAAUUGGUCAAGCAUCACACCUCACAGAUGAUCCUCCUGAUGAGAAAACAGAUGCAACAAAGGUAAAGGCUUGGAAAAUUGCUGAUGAUCGUGUGAUGGGAUUCAUAUUUAUGAGCGUUGAUGUGGCUAUUCGGAUAGGUUUUAAGGCUCACACAAGUGCUAAGGAGAUGUGGAACUAUCUCAAACAGAGAUACACUCAAGAAAGUGGAGCCUUACGCUUCUCCUUGUUGCAAAAUCUGAACAACUUACAGCAGCAACAAAAUCAGUCCAUUGAAGAGUUUUACAAUGUUUUUACUCGGUUAACCGGACAAUUUGAGGUACAGAUUCAAAAAGUUGUUUAAGGAUGUGCACAAUGCAAGGCGAGAGAGAAGCAUGAUCAGGAAAAUUUAGGAGUAUAUCAGUUUGCCAUGCGACUUCUCCCUAAAUUUGAACCUAAACGGGUUCAAUUGCUUGCGCGUAGUACACUUCCAACUAUGACAGAGGCUCUUGCAGAUCUGAUUGCUGAGGAGACGCGUCUUAGCACCCUAGAAAUUACUUCCACUCAUUCGGUUGCUCAUAAUGUCCUGGCAGCAACUCAUCGUGUUGGAGUUCCUAUGGGGAGUGUCCCUAGAUUCGGUUACAAUUAUUUGCUCUUAUUGCAAGAAGGUCGGUCAUACUUUCCAUGAUUGCUUUCAUCUUCACCCAAAGAAGUUGGUUGAUUAUCAAGCGAGGCGUGCAAUCACUUCACGUCCUCAUGUGGCUGCUAGUGUUCCUGGUUUCUCUGACUCCAUAGCUGCUAGAUCUAGUAUGAGUGUUGUUGGUACUAUCUCCGGUGCAGCCUUAUGUGCUCCUCAGCUCGCAAUAGUAGGACCAUCUUAUUUGAGCAGUGACUGGUCAUGGCCUUCACCGUAUUGUUUCAGAUCCGCCUUCCAUCUUUAAGUAAUUUGACGGUCACUAUUUCCCCUUUUGUUGCCAUCUGCUAUUUGUCUAUUGCAAUGCCUUUUGCUAGCAUAGUAUCAUCUACAAAUCAAUUUCCUAUGUUCUUUAUCGAGUCCACUAAAGUCCAUCACAUCCUUUCAAUUCGUCGAAGUAAUGUCAGUAUACUAGUAUCUCACUAGCUCCAUAUCGGAGCAGGCCAUCGUCACCAAUCAAGGGCCGAAGAACAAUUUGUAAAGGCCCUUCAACAUCAUCACCAACAUCUCCGAAUCGGUGAAGAGCCGCAGAACGGGUUGUGAAGGCUUCAAGAUUCCGAGGGCCGAAGAACAGUUUGUGAAGGCUCCGAGGUCCACUUCAUUGCGGAGGGGAUGCUAUCUUUUCUUCUUCAUCAUCAUCCAAGAUUUGCACGCUUUGACAACAUCUUCAAGCAUUGACUUUGGUUUUAGUGUAGGUUAAGCUAUACCUUUCAAAUGCAAUGUUAUUGCAUACACAUUGCAUUUGAGCGGGGAUGUUAAAGGGUAUAUGUGUCUUUUCAUAUCUCUUGUAAACAUUAUAUGUGGUUCUUACCGUAAGUCAAUUGUACACAGUAAAAUCCCCAAA